GGUGUAAACAUGAUGUUCUUUUUCCUCCUAUUCGGGCUCGCACCCAAAAGUCAGGGCGAGCCUGCUUUUUUUGAACAACA
rfam:Bacillus subtilis subsp. subtilis str. 168 complete genome.